rnacentral:rRNA from 1 species
AUACAGAGGGUACAAGCGUUAAUCGGAUUUACUGGGCGUAAAGCGCGCGUAGGUGGCUAAUUAAGUCAAAUGUGAAAUCCCCGAGCUUAACUUGGGAAUUGCAUUCGAUACUGGUUAGCUAGAGUAUGGGAGAGGAUGGUAGAAUUCCAGGUGUAGCGGUGAAAUGCGUAGAGAUCUGGAGGAAUACCGAUGGCGAAGGCAGCCAACUGGCCUAAACCUGACACUGAGGUGCGAAAGAAUGGGGAGAAAACAGGAUUAGAUACCCUGGUAGUCCAGGCCGUAAACGAUGUCUCCUAGCCGUUGGGGCCCUUGAGGCUUUAGUGGCGCAGCUAACGCGGUAAGUAGACCGCCUGGGGAGUACGGUCGCAAGACUGAGACUCAAAUGAAUUGACGGGG